UGGGGAAUAUUGCACAAUGGGCGCAAGCCUGAUGCAGCCAUGCCGCGUGUGUGAAGAAGGCCUUCGGGUUGUAAAGCACUUUCAGCGAGGAGGAAGGGUAGUGUGUUAAUAGCACAUUGCAUUGACGUUACUCGCAGAAGAAGCACCGGCUAACUCCGUGCCAGCCGCCGCGGUAAUACGGAGGGUGCAAGCGUUAAUCGGAAUUACUGGGCGUAAAGCGCACGCAGGCGGUUUGUUAAGUCAGAUGUGAAAUCCCCGCGCUUAACGUGGGAACUGCAUUUGAAACUGGCAAGCUAGAGUCUUGUAGAGGGGGGUAGAAUUCCAGGUGUAGCGGUGAAAUGCGUAGAGAUCUGGAGGAAUACCGGUGGCGAAGGCGGCCCCCUGGACAAAGACUGACGCUCAGGUGCGAAAGCGUGGGGAGCAAACA
rnacentral:rRNA from 1 species